GUUGCUUCAAAAACCAGGGCUGGAACCUUAAGAAACAUUAACAUUGUGUGGAACUGGAGUAAAUUACCCAACCAAACAAUGGACAAAGGUAAAAGACAACGUUCAAAGAAUUUCAGUGACUUUGAAAGGACCCUUUUGAAGCAAAUUGUGUCAAACCACCCAAUUAUUGAGAACAAACAGCAUGAUUCAGCAACAGAAAACAAGAAAAAGACUGCUUGGACUUCAAUUUGCAAUGAAUUUAACUCAAAUGAAAAAGUAAGCAACAGGACACUUCAACAACUUCAGACCGGAGACCGAUGACCUAGAAGACUUGUUGACUUUGAUUAUUGAUAGCCAGCAGCCCCUGGAAGGUAUCCCUGAUGAUGAUGAUGUGGACAGUUCAGAUGGGGCCCCGUUCCAAUCCUCAUUUGGUCCUGAGACAGGAUGAAAGUCAGCCCACUACAGCUGCAGCAGCCUGGAGGGAAGAUGGUGUCACUAAUUCUGGCCAGAUGAGAAGGACCAAGAGGCUGAGCAUGCACGAGA